GGAAAGGUAAAAGACUGCAUCUACCACGAGUGUUGUACCCCAUGAUGGCCCAUGGACCUACACAUCUAUCCAAGAUGCACAUGAACAGCAUAAUAAACACCCAUUGGGUAGCACCCGGAUUUACUGUUGUAGCAGCUAAACACACGCAAGCUUGCAUGAUUUGUGUUAGAAGCAAUCCAGAACAUGCUGUCAAAACACCAAGUAAGCACACGCCAAGGACACUUUACCCAUUUCAAAGACUGCAGAUAGACUAUAUUUAACUGCCUAAGGUAGGAGUGUAUGAAUAUGUGUCGGUGUGCAUUGAUCUCUUUUCAGGUUGGCCUGAGCAACAAGGGGGGGUUUUCCUUUAUUAGAUACAUUUGUCUGCUCGGUAUCUGUUGGCUGCCCUCCAUCAUUCACCCAUACAAGUGGCUUCUAGGGGAUUUUUUUGGACACUCGUAUAUAUUUUUUAUUGUUU